UACGUAGGGGGCGAGCGUUGUCCGGAAUUAUUGGGCGUAAAGGGCGCGUAGGCGGCUCGGCACGUCCGUUGUGAAAUCGCCCGGCUCAACUGGGCGGGGUCGGCGGAUACGGCCGAGCUGGAGCAAGCUAGGGGGUAAUGGAAUUCCCGGUGUAGUGGUGGAAUGCGUAGAUAUCGGGAGGAACACCAGUGGCGAAGGCGGUUACCUGGAGCUUUGCUGACGCUGAUGCGCGAAAGCGUGGGGAGCGAUCCGG
rnacentral:rRNA from 1 species